CAUGUUAAGAGCUAGAGUUGCACUAUUCCAGCCUCGUCGGCAUCUGACUUCAUAGCUGCUCCAUUGCCAGCUUGGAGUAGGAGGUGCCAGCCACUGCAUGCUGGAGGCUGCAGCCUACCGGGCUGUGGCUGGCCUCCCUGGCUCACCACCUCGCCGGCUUGCCUCGCCUUGCCUCGCUGGCUUGCCUUGCCCGCUGCGGUUGGUGGCAGCGAUGGACACUGCAACCGGCCAGAGUGUAGAAAAGCGUCGGGGCUGGUCUCAAACUUCUGGACUUACGCGAUCCUCUUCUGCCUCAGCCUUCAGAUAGCUGCAGCUAUAAGCAUGCACCACCGCACCCAGCUUGAAGUAGAGACGGGGUUUCACCAUGUUAGCCCAGGAUGGUCUCGAUCUCCCAACCUCGUGAUCCGCCCACCUCGGCCUCCCAAAGUGCUAGGAUUACAGGCAUGAGCCACCAUGCCCGGCCUACUUCUUUUUUUGUCAUUUCUAAUUGACUGGUAA
rnacentral:lncRNA from 10 species